UACGGAGGAUCCAAGCGUUAUCCGGAAUUACUGGGCGUAAAGAGUUGCGUAGGCGGCAGAGUAAGUAGAUAGUGAAAUCGUGUGGCUCAACCAUACUUCCAUUAUCUAAACUGCUCAGCUAGAGCAUGGAAGAGGUAGCUGGAAUUUCUAGUGUAGGAGUGAAAUCCGUAGAUAUUAGAAGGAACACCGAUGGCGUAGGCAGGCUACUGGUCCAUUGCUGACGCUCAGGCACGAAAGCGUGGGGAGCGACCGGG
rnacentral:rRNA from 1 species